rnacentral:rRNA from 1 species
CGGAGGGGCUAGCGUUGUUCGGAAUUACUGGGGCGUAAAGCGCACGUAGGCGGACCAGAAGUUGGGGUGAAAGUCCCGGGCGUCAACCUCGGAACUGCCCUCAAACUAUUGGUCUGGAGUUCGAGAGAGGUGAGUGGAAUUCCGAGUGUAGAGGUGAAAUUCGUAGAUAUUCGGAGGAACACCAGUGGCGAAGGCGGCUCACUGGCUCGAUACUGACGCUGAGGUGCGAAAGCGUGGGGAGCAAACAGGAUU